AGUCUGAUGCUGCGACGCCGCGUGAGUGAAGACGGCCUUCGGGUUGUAAAGUUCUUUCAACAGGGAAAAAAGUGUAUGUACGUAACUGAUCAUAUCUGGACGUUACCUGCAAAAGCAGCCCCGGCUAACUCCGUGCCAGCAGCCGCGGCAAUACGGACGGGGGUAGCGUGGUUCUGAGUGGCUGGGCGUGAAGGGCACGUAAGUGGUGAGUCAAAUCAUCGGUCAAAAGCCGGAACUUAACUUCUGUCCGGCCGGUGAAACUGGUGUGCUUUAGUAUCUGAGAGGAAAAUGGAAUAUCUGGUGUAGCGGUGGAAUGCGCAAAUAUCAGAUGGAACACCAUUAACGAAGGCGGCACUCUGGCUGAUAACUGACACUGAGGUGCGAAAGCGUGGGUAGCAAACAGGAUUAGAUACCCUGGUAGUCCACGCUGUAAACGAUGGAUACUAGAUGUCGGCGAGCAAUUGUCGGUGUCGAAGCUGACGCGUUAAGUAUCCCGCCUGGGGAGUACGUACGCAAGUA
rnacentral:rRNA from 1 species